rnacentral:rRNA from 1 species
AUUGAACGCUGGCGGCGUGCCUAACACAUGCAAGUCGAGCGGUAACAGGUGUAGCAAUACAUGCUGACGAGCGGCGGACGGGUGAGUAACGCUUGGGAAUCUGCCUAUUAGUGGGGGACAACCCGGGGAAACUCGGGCUAAUACCGCAUACGCUCUACGGAGGAAAGCCGGGGACCGCAAGGCCUGGCGCUAAUAGAUGAGCCCAAGUCGGAUUAGCUAGUUGGUAGGUAAUGGCCUACCAAGGCGACGAUCCGUAACUGGUCUGAGAGGACGACCAGUCACACCGGAACUGAGACACGGUCCGGACUCCUACGGGAGGCAGCAGUGGGGAAUAUUGGACAAUGGGCGAAAGCCUGAUCCAGCGACGCCGCGUGGGUGAGGAAGGCCUGCGGGUUGUAAAGCCCUUUCAGUGGGGAAGAAAAGCCUCGACCUAACACGUCGGGGUCUUGACGUAACCCAUAGAAGAAGCACCGGCUAACUCUGUGCCAGCAGCCGCGGUAAG